UACGUAGAGAGCAAGCGUUGUCCGGAAUCACUGGGCGUAAAGGGUACGCAGGCGGAUAUACAAGUCAAAUGUGAAAUGUACAGGCUCAACC
rnacentral:rRNA from 1 species